CCUACGGGUGGCUGCAGUCGAGAAUCAUUCACAAUGGGGGAAACCCUGAUGGUGCGACGCCGCGUGGGGGAAUGAAGGUCUUCGGAUUGUAAACCCCUGUCAUGUGGGAGCAAAUUAAAAAGAUAGUACCACAAGAGGAAGAGACGGCUAACUCUGUGCCAGCAGCCGCGGUAAUACAGAGGUCUCAAGCGUUGUUCGGAAUCACUGGGCGUAAAGCGUGCGUAGGCUGUUUCGUAAGUCGUGUGUGAAAGGCGCGGACUCAACCCGCGGACGGCACAUGAUACUGCGAGACUAGAGUAGUGGAGGGGGAACCGGAAUUCUCGGUGUAGCAGUGAAAUGCGUAGAUAUCGAGAGGAACACUCGUGGCGAAGGCGGGUUCCUGGACAUUAACUGACGCUGAGGCACGAAGGCCAGGGGAGCGAAAGGGAUUAGAUACCCUAGUAGUC
rnacentral:rRNA from 1 species